rnacentral:rRNA from 1 species
GGCUUAGAAGCAGCCACUCAUUAAAAGAGUGCGUAAUAGCUCACUGGUCGAGUGAUUCUGCGCCGAAAAUUUAACGGGGCUAAACUAUACACCGAAGCUUAGGAUACCGCAAGGUAUGGUAGGAGAGCGUUCUGUACGGAGUGAAGUCGUAGCGAAAGCGGCGGUGGACUGUACAGAAGUGAGAAUGCCGGAAUAAGUAGCGAGAAUUAAGUGAGAAUCUUAAUGGCCGAAAGUCUAAGGUUUUUGGAGGAAGGUUCGUCCGCUCCAAGUAAGUCGGGAGCUAAGGUCAGGCCGAAAGGCGUAGCCGAUGCACAAACGGUUGAUAUUCCGUUACCGUCUACAAUUUAAACAAAGGGACACAUACAAAGCGUUUAACCCGGGCGAUGGUUGACCCGGGCGCAAGGGACUGAAAUUAGAGUAGGGAAGUAAAUGUAGCGUAUGGCGAGAAAAGCUUUGUGUAUAGAAGUAGACGCCCGUACCGCAAACCGACACAGGUGGACAGGAAGAGAAUUCUAAGGCCAGCGGGAGAAGGGUAGUUAAGGAACUCGGCAAAUUGACUCCGUAACUUCGGAAUAAGGAGUGCUCGAAAGAGCCGCAGAGAAUAGGCCCAGGCGACUGUUUAGCAAAAACACAGGUCUCUGCCAAAUCGAAAGAUGAAGUAUAGGGGCUGACACCUGCCCGGUGCCGGAAGGUUAAGAGGAGGAGUGCAAGCUCCGAAUUGAAGCCCCGGUAAACGGCGGCCGUAACUAUAACGGUCCUAAGGUAGCGAAAUUCCUUGUCGGGUAAGUUCCGACCCGCACGAAUGGUGUAACGAUCUGGGCACUGUCUCAACUACCCACCCGGCGAAAUUGUAGUACCGGUGAAGAUGCCGGUUACCUGCGGCAAGACGGAAAGACCCCAUGGAGCUUUACUGUAGCCUGAUAUUGGGUUUCGGAAAUCUAUGUACAGGAUAGGCGGGAGACUAGGAAGUAUGAGCGUCAGCUUAUACGGAGUCGUUGUUGGGAUACCGCCCUUAGGUUUCUGGAAUUCUAACCUGCGACCGUGAAUCCGGUCGGGGGACAUUGUCAGGUGGGCAGUUUGACUGGGGCGGUCGCCUCCGAAAAGGUAACGGAGGCGCUCAAAGGUUGGCUCAGCACGGACGGAAACCGUGCCUCUGAGUGUAAACGCAAAAGCCAGCCUAACUGCGAGGAUGACGGUCCGAGCAGUAACGAAAGUUGGAGUUAGUGAUCCGGCGGUAUGUGAAUGGAAAUGCCGUCGCUCAACGGAUAAAAGCUACCCUGGGGAUAACAGGCUGAUCUCCCCCAAGAGUCCACAUCGACGGGGAGGUUUGGCACCUCGAUGUCGGCUCAUCACAUCCUGGGGCUGUAUUCGGUCCCAAGGGUUCGGCUGUUCGCCGAUUAAAGUGGUACGCGAGCUGGGUUCAGAACGUCGCGAGACAGUUCGGUCCCUAUCUGUCGUGGGCGCAGGAUAUUUGAGGAGCUCUGUCCUUAGUACGAGAGGACCGGGAUGGACGUACCUCUGGUGCACCAGUUGUCAUGCCAAUGGCACGGCUGGGCAGCUACGUACGGAACGGAUAAACGCUGAAAGCAUCUAAGCGUGAAGCCGACUCCAAGAUUAGAUAUCCCAUCAGAAUAUGAGUAAGACCCCUUGUAGACUACGAGGUUGAUAGGCUGCGUGUGUAAGCAUGGUGACAUGUUCAGCUUGGCAGUACUAAUAGGUCGAGGGCUUGACCAC